GGCACGAUGGCAGAGUGGUUAUUGCGUAAGACUAGAAUGACUCCUUUAGUCUAGAGCAUCUUAUUCCUUCGGGAGCGUAGGUUCAAGUCCUACUCGUGUCG
rnacentral:tRNA from 1 species